AUUGAACGCUGGCGGCAGGCCUAACACAUGCAAGUCGGACGGUAGCACAGAGGAGCCUGCUCCUUGGGUGACGAGUGGCGGACGGGUGAGUAAUGUCUGGGGAUCUGCCCGAUAGAGGGGGAUAACCACUGGAAACGGUGGCUAAUACCGCAUAACGUCGCAAGACCAAAGAGGGGGACCUUCGGGCCUCUCACUAUCGGAUGAACCCAGAUGGGAUUAGCUAGUAGGCGGGGUAAUGGCCCACCUAGGCGACGAUCCCUCGCUGGUCUGAGAGGAUGACCAGCCACACUGGAACUGAGACACGGUCCAGACUCCUACGGGAGGCAGCAGUGGGGAAUAUUGCACAAUGGGCGCAAGCCUGAUGCAGCCAUGCCGCGUGUAUGAAGAAGGCCUUCGGGUUGUAAAGUACUUUCAGCGGGGAGGAAGGCGGUGAGGUUAAUAACCUUGCCGAUUGACGUUACCCGCAGAAGAAGCACCGGCUAACUCCGUGCCAGCAGCCGCCGUAA
rnacentral:rRNA from 1 species